rfam:Streptococcus iniae ITSA1 contig001, whole genome shotgun sequence.
GGGGUUGUUACGGAUUCGACAGGCAUUAUGAGACAUGUUUUGCGACCCAUCGGCAGAUGUAAAAUGCCAGUUAAAUAUAACUGCAAAAAAUACAAACACUUACGCAUUAGCUGCUUAAUAACCAGUUAGCGUGACUUCUACAAGAUUGCUUGUGUCCUGCUAGAAGUCUUAAAAUAGCAAGCUACGAGUGAGGUUUUGUCUAGAGCCUUACUAAGAGAUUUUUAGACUCGCACAUCAGUGGCUUGAGUUAUGUGUCCCUGACGGGUUAAAUCAAUACAUAACCUAUGGUUGUAGACAAAUAUGUUGGCAGGUGUUUGGACGUGGGUUCGACUCCCACCAGCUCCAUCA